rnacentral:rRNA from 1 species
UACGUAGGGGGCAAGCGUUGUCCGGAAUCAUUGGGCGUAAAGCGCGUGUAGGCGGCCCGAUAAGUCUGCUGUGAAAGUCAACGGCUCAACCGUUGAAAGCCGGUGGAUACUGUCGGGCUAGAGUUCGGAAGAGGCAAGUGGAAUUCCUGGUGUAGCGGUGGAAUGCGCAGAUAUCAGGAGGAACACCCAUAGCGAAGGCAGCUUGCUGGGACGAUACUGACGCUAAGGCUCGAAAGCGUGGGGAGCGAACAGG